UAUCAGAUUUUGUAAGAGAGUUUUUUCUUUUUGUGAAAAAAAUAUGAGAUAUAAAUUAUAAAAGUCACGUGUGAGUGGAGAGAUGGAACAUUGAAUGCUCUUCUUUUUUAAGGCCUUGUUUGGAUCUCAUCCUGGAGCCAAAAAUGUUUUAUUUUUCAAUUCCCUCUCCAACAAAUGAGUGCGUGGCAGUGUCAAAGUGGAUGGAGAUAUCUUUUUUUUUCAUGCUGAUAGAGAGAGUAAGACAUUUUCUUCUCUUUUUUCUUAACUUAAAAUUUAAAAGGAAACUUAAAUUUUUUAAAUUCA
rnacentral:lncRNA from 1 species